GAUGAACGCUAGCUACAGGCUUAACACAUGCAAGUCGCGGGGCAGCAUGGGGGUUGCUUGCACUCCCCGAUGGCGACCGGCGCACGGGUGAGUAACGCGUAUUCAACCUGCCCUUCACCACGGGAUAACCCGGCGAAAGUCGGACUAAUACCGUAUGUUGUCCAUUGACGGCCUCCGAUUUGGACGAAAGGCUUGGCGGUGAGGGAUGGGGAUGCGUCCGAUUAGCCAGACGGCGGGGUAACGGCCCACCGUGGCUACGAUCGGUAGGGGUUCUGAGAGGAAGGUCCCCCACACUGGAACUGAGACACGGUCCAGACUCCUACGGGAGGCAGCAGUGAGGAAUAUUGGUCAAUGGGCGUAAGCCUGAACCAGCCAAGUAGCGUGCAGGAUGACGGCCCUAUGGGUUGUAAACUGCUUUUAUGCGGGGAUAAAGUGGCCCACGUGUGGGCUUUUGCAGGUACCGCAUGAAUAAGGACCGGCUAAUUCCGUG
rnacentral:rRNA from 1 species